AAAAAAAUAAGCUAAUUAAGCUAAUGGGUUCAUACCCCAUAUAUAAAGGUAAUAAUCCUUUUUUUUUUA
rnacentral:tRNA from 1 species